rnacentral:lncRNA from 10 species
GAAGGGACAUCUUACCAGCCCAGCCCAACCAUUAAACUGUGGAGAAGGAAGGUGGAGAGUGCCUGUAUAUGGAAAGAAGAAAAGCUAACUUCAUGGCUUUCUUGUAUUAACUGAGGCUUCCAGUUUAUAAAUGGAGAAAGAAUGAUGGAACCAGAUCAUUAUCAUUUUGCAACAGCUGAUAAAAUAGUGGGCACAGACAACAACAGUUAAUGGCUACUGACAUCACAAAGAGACUAUCAGACAUUAUAGGCUUCCUUUUGGAAUAUACAACACCAGCACGAAAUAUUUCUGCCAAAUAAUCUAACCUCAUUGUAUUCAAGUCUCUGCUCCUUACAGAAGCUCUCUCUUUAUCUAAACUGGGAGGCAGCUGGGAAUUUGGAUUGAAGAGGAGGGCUGGGAGGGCGAGAGAGGGGUGAGAGAGGAAACAAGAUUAACUUCAGAAUUUGAAGGACAAUUUCACAAAAUAAAUCCUUUAAAAAUCUGGAUUCCUCUUUGUGACAUUGGUUUUGCUUUGAUGAGAGCAUGUUGAUGCAUGAAGACUUCAUGUCAUCUUGGUUGAAAGUGCGCUUUAAAGUUCAAUAGUCA